rnacentral:lncRNA from 1 species
AUAGCAGAAACAACAAACAGCGCAUGAGACCCACUCGCUUGCUACUCGAUCACCAGUCUUUGAGAAUCGGCCGGAAAUUCACAUGCACUUCUCUCUAGGGUGGUGGUGAGAUGAGAUAAUAACUGGAAGAGGUGAUUCAAACAAAACAGCCUCCUUUUCUAAGGAGACCCAGAAAACAAAAUUCUAGAACAAACCUCAAAAAGCCAAUUUCAGAAUAAGCCAAGAGGCUCUAAUACCAUGUAACAAGACAAGGAACAAUUAGGCAACAUUGAGUAUUUUCUCUAUUGAUGUAAGUGUGUUUAUAUACAGAUUACAAGAUCUUGUUAAAACAACUCCUAAGAAUCCUUUAUCAAUCAAUUAGUAUCAAUAUAAUCUCCUUUAAUUAUGUGCAAAUUAUGUUCACACUCUAACACCAGUAUUGUCUUGAUUAAAUAAUAACAAAGAACAAAACUCAAAAGCUUAAAGUACUAAGUACUAACCAUACUCAAUCGAAUAGUACUUCUGAAAAGCCAAAAUUUAUGCUGUCAAAAGGUACUAAAAAAGGCCAACCAAUCCCCAGAAAGACAAUAAAAGUAUCAAUAGAUGAUCUUCUUAAAAUUCUAUAUAAGGAGCAUUCUUUUAAAGAGAAGAGCAGGACUUAAUUAGCCAAGAAGUAUUCUCUUUAGCAUUAAAUUCUUUUUCUAAAAUCAUUGUAGUUUACUUAUUUUCAUUUCCAAUAGGAUAGAUACAACAAGUCUAUUUGAGGAUAUUUAUAAAUUAUUCAAUUCAAUACAAUACAUUGACAAUUUCAGUUUAUAGUUGAAUCUUGUAAAUUACUUCCUGACCUUUUCAUAUGUAUAGCCUUCCUAGGUACUUCCGGUGUUUCAAAUAUUCCUUGCAAUAUCAAUGACAGUAAGAGACAAACACACACUCGUUUAAUUGUAGCUGAAAGCUCAUAACCUCAAAAUUUAUAAACAACCGUUUUGUAGAAGGAAAAGGCAGCAAUACAUAGAACCCACUUCACUAUGACAACCUUAAUUUCACUUAAAUUAAAAAAUUAAGAUGAUAGAAUUCUUAUUAUAUAAAAAUAGAACAUUUUCUCCAACAUUUUGUAUCUUUGAGGCUACAAAUAUCUCAAUCAUUCUAGAUUAUUUCACUCCCUUAAUGCAUCACCGUAGCCUGUUCAACUCCAUCCUUAAACUCUUUUUUUUUUGUUUGUUUAAAAAGAAAGAAAAAUAAUAUAUCCUGAAAAUUGAUUAUGGGAAGCAAGGGUAUUAAUGUAGGUUGAGGCUUUUUAAGUUGCAACAAAUGCACAAUACUACUGUACAAAUUCAAUCAAAUUAAACCAAAAAUUUGCAGUUACAAAUAUAUAAAACAAAGAUUGGCUUAAAAUAAUAGCAAACUAAAAGUAAGUUUAAUUUGCAUAUAUCCUCACCGCCCACCAAAAAAGUAAAUAAGAGUGCCAAAGAUACACAUUACUUCUAUGUUUUAAAAGGAAAAAAAAAAAAAAGACACUACAGUGUUCUCCUGAAGUUUCUGUCUGUCUAUCGUUGCUGUUGUUGUUAUUGUUAUAUUAUUAUUAUCAUUUUUGGUGUGUAUCCCUUUUCUUCAAAAUUUACUUGUGUUAGUUUCAUUUUUGUUUUGUAUUAUUUUAUUACUCUUUCCCACUAGAUAUUUUUACAAGCAUAUCAUUAUAUAGAUUCUCUCAUCCUGUAUAUUUAUUAGAGAGAAUUUUUUCUGUGUUCUAUUUUCCCCACCGAUUGAAUUUAUUGACUUAAAAUGUUGCAUUCAACCUUUUACCAUCUUGGGUAAUGAGAGUAUUUAAAAAGUGUGCAUAAGUGUUGCCAGCAUUCUCUUCGCACUUUUGCCAAACUUGAUACAAACAGGAUGACAACAGUGACUAAGCCACAAAUAAAUCUUUAGAAAAAUAGAAUUCAAUCCACAAGUUAUUGAUAAAAUUCUAAACACUUUAUUCCAUAGAUGCCCAUCUGCCAGAAAUUAGGGUCGGAUUGGACAUAAUCCAGUAUCAAGCUACUAAUCCAUAAACAUACAUAUGUGGUGUUUAUACCAUGCCAAAACUCAAGUGAUAGUAAACUUUCUAAACAUAAAGAAGAAGAGCUAAGUCUCAAGAUUUCCAACAGUAGUAGGCCAUUCUAGUCCCCAAUUUAAGACAUUCAAUGAACUGGCAAAGGAAAACAGAGAUGGAGAUGUAGAGAAGAAACAGUUCCAUUUGGCUAAGGAACAAAUGUUGAAGUUCCUAUAGCAUAAAGACUAGGGUUCAAGCUUCUAGUCUAAAUAAUAAACUUUACCAGAAAAAUACCACUUGGCUAGCACAAAACAAAUACUAAAUUAACAGUCUACUGCAGGAGGAUUCUUCUUAAUUAUGUAACCAGUUUCAUCAAGACUAUUAACAUGCUUUCAAUACUAUCCGCUGCUUAUUAGCCAAAGUACAAAUGAAAAUUUUCAUCAGUCUAUUUAUCACUUGACUAUUCAUUAAAAUUACCUAACCAGUUGGUUAAAUGGAAGAAAUCUUAAGAUAUAAACCUUAUCGGAAUUCAGCUAUUGACUAAAAGGUUUAGAUUCUCUUGUUCUAUCCAUAUCCUCAGGGAGGAAAUCAUGUGUACACAGAAGCAAAUGGCUGGGAGUUUGGCUUAAUAAUUCUGCAUUGCAUUUGGAUGCAGGAAGUCAGAGACCCUCCAAAUAGGGUAUGGGAGAAUGUCCACUAUUUCAAAUUGUUUCUUUACAAGUAUGGUUAGGUGUUGCAGUUAGCUGGCCAUUUGGCCCAUUUGUAACCAAAAAAUUUUAAAAAAUAAAAAGUAAUUUUUCCUUUUCUUUUUCAGUUUUAUUGGGAAAAAAAAAAUUGAAUACAACCAANNNNNNNNNNNNNNNNNNNNNNNNNNNNNNNNNNAAAAAAAAAGGAGUCAGAGACAAGCCUCCAUCAAAGAGCCUUGAAGUCUUUUCUACACCAACCCCAACUCUUUUACCAAAUUUGAAAAGGAGAAUCAGAUCAAAGCUUCAGAUCAACCCAAUAUGAUAGCAAACAAAAUGAUGGUUAAAAUAUCGCAUAAGAAAUUUCAAAUUUAAUUAUGCAGAAACACAAUAAGCAGCCCAUCUACCCAUGUUAAAUCUUAUUAGAACUUCACACCUUCAUCUUUUUUCUCUUUGUAUUUAUUCGUUUAUUCUGAGCUUAUCCUUCUACUUGAUGACAUCAAAGAUAAAUUUCCAAAAAAAAAAAAAGAGAGGGAUCAACAUCACAGUACGCAGCAGAUACCAACAAAAUCAGCUAAGUGGCCAUUGAUAAUUGAAAUACGCUUGAAGAACUUCUAACCCAAGUUGAGAAAAACAACAAUGAUACUAGUGAAACAAAGUAGAAACAAAUGUAGUGAGAAGAAAAGAAUCAAAUACCUGAUAUGUCCUCUUCAAUGGCUCUUCAACUGCCAUCACAUUUCAAAAAAGCAAACAAAAUAAAAUUGGAAAUUCAGGCAAUGAUUAUGAAGAAAAAGAUAUGAAAACAUACAAAAUACAUAAAAUUAAGUGGAGAUCAACCUUGAUCCAUUAGUGCUUUGAACUGAUUGAUUGCUUCAUCUGGAACAAUACCCAUUUCUCCUUCCUCUCUCUCUCUCUCUCUCUCUCUUCUCUAGCACCAAAGUAGGGAAGAGAAAUGCAGGAGAUGCAAAUUUGGGGACCCUUUCAGCUUCUCUUGGUUGACUCUCUUUUAACUAGUGGCAUCCAAAAUCUAACAGUGGAUUUAGAGAAAAAUGAUAGAUAUUAAACACCAAAAGAGAAUGGUUCCAUGGAAGUUCUGAUAUUAAGACAACAGGAACAAAGGCAAAUCAUUCAGAUUUUUGGGUCAAGAAAGGCGGGUCUACCAACAAAUUCCAUAGUCCCACCUCUAAAUUAUUUAAAAAAAAAAAAAAAAAAGUUAAGCUUUUCUAAAAGAAACUCUCUCUCUCUCUCUUUCCCUCUCGGUGUGUGGCAUUGUGUGCCACAUUUUACAUGGAAAGCAAGAAACACUGCACCACACAACACAUCCUAUGAAGUUAAGACAUAUAAUUAAAGCUUUUUGUUUUGUAGUGCUUCUCUUUUUCAUUUUCUUGUUUUAAUUAUUAAAUUCUCGUAAAAGAAAGUAGAAAGAAAAAUAAAAAGAAAAAAAAUCUAGGAAGGAAAACUGUCAUUCAACAUCACUUUUGAUUAGCGGGAGAAAUUUAAGUUUAUGUUUUUCGCUAUUGGCUGUUUUAGUUCGUUUGCGAAAUAUUAUAAAAAAAAAUUUCUUGACAAUUUACUAUUUUAAUUAAAUCACUAUUUAUAAAAUCAUUAUCAAAUAAAAUCUAAAAUUUAUAUAUUAUAAACAAGUCCAACUCAUCUCUAAUUCGAUUAUUAUUUUAUAAAUAAUAUUUAAAUUUAUUCUAAAUAUAAUUAUUAUUAUUUACAUGAAAUUUUAAAAUAUUAAAUUUUUUUAAAAAAUAUUUAAAUUCUAAUUUUUUUUAAAAAAAAUAUUUUUAAAAAAAAAAUAUAUUAAAUAAUUAUAAAUAAUAUUAUCAUAAAAUAUAUAUUUAAUAUUAAACUAAUCAUUUAUAAAAACAGUUUUAAGUAUGAAAUGAGAAUUGAAAAUUGGAGGAGUAAAAUCUGAGAUCUCUCAUAUUUACUUAAAUACAGUUAUCAUACCAGAUUAAAUCUGUGAGUGCCAUGAAUAUUAAUUUUUAAAUUUGAAUUUGUCUGAAUAUAUAUUAUUUAAAUAUAUUAUAUACUAUUAAUUUCAUCCUAAAUUUAAAUAUAUUUUAAAAUUCGAUUGAAUUAAAUAAGUAAAAAAUACUAGACAGCAACACUUGUUCUAUUGCCAUCCCAAUGUGUGUGGUGGUCCUACCGUUGCAGUUUUUACCACUCAACUACCUUAUUUAAGUCACCUAAUUUAUCAUUUCAAAUUUAUUUUUUCAAUUAAUUCUUCACUUAACUCUUAUAAUUAAGUCCACCUUUUACCAUAUUUAUGUUGCAAAAUUUAUGAGUAAACAAAAUGUAUCUCUUUGUUUUUGGUAUAAAGAUUGAGUCAUAAUCAUCCAAAUUCACUUCCCAAAUAAAUUAGUUCUCCUAUAGUAUCAAAAGCUUAUAAUGCAAUUUUUAUGCAACCUAAUGAAAUUUAAGAAAUUUAAGGCACUAUAUAUCAAGAAUUUUUUUAAAAUAAAAAAAGUUUAAUUAUUUAUGAAAUUUCUACUUUCUUUAAUCUAAAAUAUUUCAUCAAAUUUAAAUACAAUAUGUGUUUUCAAAACUCUCAUUUUAAACGUUUUUCUCUAUCUAGUAUGACUUAUUUUAAUGAUUAAGCGGAAUUCAACUCACCAAACAUAUAUCACUUUUAAAUUCUUCGAUCUCAUUUCUGAAUUUGUACAUAUUAAAGUGUAUAAUGAUAAAAAAAUAAUAAUUGAUGUAACUGGAAAAUAAAACUGUGCUGUGAUUGGUUAAGUGACAUGAUUGGCGUCUACGACAGCCACUUUGAUGCUCAAGUUAGUAAACUGGAGAAUAGGGCGAGUAUAAGGAAUUGCUUAGAACUUAAGUGUAACUGUAUAAAAAUUGCAUACCUUUGUCUCUGAAAUCGUUGACUUUUAUACUGUAAAACGACAGAGUUAAAUAUAGCAUUUCCUGAUAAUCUAGCGAUGAUGUGACCAGCUAUUUGAUAAGAGAUCUCAUCGAUUUAACUGGUUGGUGAUCUCGUUAUUAUAGGAGUAAUGGAAAUCUACUAGAUCUUGCUUGCUAACGAUAACUUCAUGUGAAGGCUCGACCUCUUCAGGGAAGGGCGAGUCUUGAUAAUGGACUGGGUAUAACAGUGUCUGGAUCUUCUUUUCCUUGGGCGGGACCGCGCAUUCGCUUAUCAGAUCCUUAUCACAUGAUCCUAUUUUGUGGUGACAACUCAUGACUCACUUUGAACGAUUCUUGUGUAACAUUAGAGGUCCCCCUACUGGUCUUUGAUUUUUCAGAUUCGAAGGGGACAAUUGUUCUCACGAUUUAGGGCACGUGGCCCAUUGAAAUUGGCCUAUCCUUGCACACGCCGUUUUGCCUACCUAGUUCUUCAAUGAUAGUUGCCCCAUUUCUCAAGUUGCAUUUAAAGUCUGCCAUCAAAAUAGUCUUAUAAGAGCCGCCAAAUAUCACUUUUUUCACAACUAUAAUCUUUGCUUUUGAAAAGACUUGGUCACUCCUUCUUUCUCAUUUAUACUCCUUUGCUUUCAUGAUAAUUUCUGUUUUCCACUUCCUUUUAAGAUGUUACUUCGAGCUCCUCCUCUGACUGCUCCAUCCGCGCCUCAGCUCUUAUCGUUCUACUGAAUGCAGUUCAUAAAAGUGAAGGCAGUCUGAUCAGUGAUAUUCAUUUCAUCCUAACGGAGCAAGAUGUAGGUCACCUUUACGAUAAGUACUAGAUUUCUCGGGAAAUCUUCUGCGUCUUUACCCCCUCCUCGAGUGUUUGUGUAGAUGACUAAAUCCCUAUAGAGGAUACCAUCAUAGUUUAUGAAGAGCAGCUGAAGGCAGGCCUUCGGUUCCCCAUGGACCCAUUUUUCACUAAUGUCCUGCAGUUUCACAAACUUUCAGUCAUUCAGAUGCAUCCCAAAAGCUGGAGAAUACUGUGGCCUUCCAUUUUGUUUAUUCUAAUAACAACAUCAAGCCGAGUGUGGCCCUCUUCUCCCAGCUGUACCAGCUGCGUACUCGGAGAAAUGAAGAGUUCUAGUUUUUUAGCUGGCAAAAAUGUAAGAUGAUAUUCGACCGGAUAUCUUCUUCAUUAAAGCAGUGGAAGAACAAGUUUUUUAUCCUCCGCUAUUGGACGUCUAGGGAGUUUUGGAUGCCUCCACAUGAGUUGAAACCUGUGGGUGGAGUUAAGGAAGGAUGGAGUCCCAUUGAGGAGGGAUGAGGAUGAGACUUAAGCCUUUCUCUUGACAAUGGCUAGGUCCUCUCAGAAAAUGGAAAUUACCAAGGUGGAGAGGAACACCAUUUUAUCUUUGCAGAGUUAUCUCCAGACGAACCAGACUUGGGGUCCUCACCCGCCCAGCCUUCCCAAUCUUGGGGAGAGAACUUCCUUGGCUAGAGAUCAGGGUAUUUUUUCUUCUGCCUUCUUUUAGAUUUCAAACUGCCUUACUUACUUUUAAUUUACACAGAUAUACUCGAUCAAGAAGUAAAUUUAUUGAAGCGGUACAUGCUGCCUACAAAGGCAAAGUUGUCACUAGGGCAAUCGGUCCCAUUCCCAAGCGUGCUUGUAAUACCCGGCUAGACUCCGGUAUCGGAAUUCCUACCAUCCGGUGGAAUCUCGGAUGUCGGAGGCCUCUAGUAGGGUAGAAUCAUGUUUUCAUAAAAUGUUUUAAGGUAUUUCAUGGUUUUAAGUAAAAUGGAAAUGAGUUUUUGCAUGAAAACAACCUUGAAGGAAAACUCAGGUUCGGCCGCCGAACCUCAAGUUCGGCCGCCGAACAUGCAUGCCUUCGGGAGCGCCUUUAGGCCCCCGAAAGCAUAAGUGAGGAAAGUCCAGGUUCGGCCGCCGAACCUCAUGUUCGGUCGCCAAACAUGGCAUGCAUGCAGAGGCACGUUCGGCCCCCGAACGUGGCCUGGCCAGCCACUAUAAAAGGGUCCCUUAGCCGAAAACGGGCGAGCUUUUUUCCCAUUUCCGGCCAAGGUGAGUUCUCCGCCACCCCUCACUGAUCUUGAGUCUUUUCCUUCAGAUCUUUCAAGUUUUUCACUAGUUUUCAUCUUGUUUUGAAGAUUUCCAAGUUUUGAGCAAGUUUUGGAGCUUUGAGGUUCAAGAACUCAAAUCUCUUCCAACUUCAAGUUAGAUCGCCUCCACCCUCGAUCUUCAAGAGGUAAGAGUCGAUCUCUAGCUUACAUNNNNNNNNNNNNNNNNNNNNNNNNNNNNNNNNNNNNNNNNNNNNNNNNNNNNNNNNNNNNNNNNNNNNNNNNNNNNNNNNNNNNNNNNNNNNNNNNNNNNNNNNNNNNNNNNNNNNNNNNNNNNNNNNNNNNNNNNNNNNNNNNNNNNNNNNNNNNNNNNNNNNNNNNNNNNNNNNNNNNNNNNNNNNNNNNNNNNNNNNNNNNNNNNNNNNNNNNNNNNNNNNNNNNNNNNNNNNNNNNNNNNNNNNNNNNNNNNNNNNNNNNNNNNNNNNNNNNNNNNNNNNNNNNNNNNNNNNNNNNNNNNNNNNNNNNNNNNNNNNNNNNNNNNNNNNNNNNNNNNNNNNNNNNNNNNNNNNNNNNNNNNNNNNNNNNNNNNNNNNNGAAAGGAGACUUUCGUCUCUGUCUGGGACUUUCGGCCGCCGAAGGUGCCGCCGAACAUGCAUGAGUUUCGCCUCUGUCUGGGAGUUUCGGCCGCCGAAGGUGCCGCUGAACCUGCCUGACUUUCGGCUCUGGAGGGACUUUCGGCCGCCGAACCUGCCGCCGAAAGUGCCCUGUUUAGCCAUUUCUUGCAUGUUUUUCUAUGAUUAUUCCAUGAUGUUUUAGGGGGUUUUUGGGGGAUAGUUUAGAGUUAUGUUCUUGUUUGGUUGGUCCCUCAUUUGAGUCCACCUGUGUAGGUUCGGACCCGAGGAACCGAGGACCCCAGCAGUGAGUCUGUUGCCCCAGUGUCUGGUCAGAGCUAUCCAGAGGUGAGUGGAAUAACUUAUUAUGUUUUAAAGCAAAGAAUGAACUUUUUAGCAUGUUUCACGCAUCAUGAAUGCCAUGUGAUGAAUUAGGUUACUUGCAUUAGAACUCACGAAUAUGUUGCAUUGCAUAUUUUUAUGUUGAUGUGGAGGAAUGUUGGAUGAUCCAUAGCCCUCGAUCUAUGAUAUGACGAUAUGAUAUGUACGGUACAGAAAGUAAGACCAGUGGGACCCAUUCUACGUUCGCUGGCACUAUGUAAGGGAAAGACCAGGACCCAUUCUACGUUCUGGCACAGUUGGACACUGUUAUGUUAUGAUAUGUAAGGGAAAGACCAGGACCCAUUCUACGUUCUGGCACAGUUGGACCAUGUAGAGGGCUAUUGGUGACAAGUUCAUCCUUGAUGUGAUUAGCUGUGAUGUGAUGCAUUUCAUGUUAUCCUAUGUUUUAAGUGUUUUAUUAUUCUGCUCACUGGGCUCUAGUAGCUCACCCCUCUCCCAAAUUUCCCCAGGAUUGCAGGUACAGGGUAGACCAGGAGGUUUACAAGAGUAAUGAAGUCUGGUAUAUGUAAUAGAUAGUGUGGACAUGAUAAAUGUAUUAAUGUUAUGUAAAAGUACAGUUUCAGUCAUGUAUUGAUAUUGAGGAUUGAUAUUGUGCUUGACAUUAUGUUUGAGGUAUCCCUUUUAUUACAUGAUCAAAAAUGUUUUAUAAUGUUCAUGAAAGCCAACUCAUCUUAUGAUGUAUCGCCCAUUGGGGCAUUGAUGAGAUCCCACAGAGGGGUCAUGAUUAUGAUUAUGACUAUGUACAGUGUAUGUUCAGGUUGAGUUGGAUGUUUGAAGGAAAAGUUUUAAAUUUUUAUGUAUGUUGUUGAUCAUGUAUGGGAUUAAACAGGUUUUCAGGAUGAAUGUCAGGCUUGCUACGGGUCUUGGCGGCCUUAAGCCGACCCAGAUCCUAGCGCCGGUAACGGUCCGAUUUUCGGGUCGUUACAGUGCUCGCGGGCAGAAGAAUUAAUCAUGUUUCCUCCUCUUCCUCCCCAACCUACAAUAGAAGAGUAGACUCACUCGAAGCUUGAGUCUUUUACAAUGGGUGACUCUUCAUCUGUCCUAGUUUUUGAGCCUUCUAUUGCAAUCCUCACUUCUACUGAGCUUAUUCUUGCGGAUGUAGGGCUUGAUUCAUUAUGGCCUCUUAGAAUUCAACGGCUGGCACUGGUGCUAACCUGAAUGCCCUCUCUCCUUGAAGAUCCUAGCUUGGCCACUCUAUUAACCAAGAAUUCUCUGAGGCCCGGAGACCGUCAUCGUGAACGAGGUCGAGAUUGAUGAGCUUUUUGACAACGUGAUGCACUCUGCCCUGAAGAGUGCCCUCUGUGCCUAUAUGGCCAAAGUGCAUCAUAAGGUCUUGACGUGGGAGUUCGGUGCUCAAGAAACAGAUAAAAGACUCCUGGCAGAGAAAUACUCGAGGCUGAAGGCUCAGGUUGACGAAGUGGAAGGCACAAUGAAAGAGACUCUUGAGUCAGUAAACAAACUCCAGGCAGACCAAGGUGAGGCCAACGCUUCCAAACUUGCCCUUAAAAAUCGGGUUAAGACUGUUGAGGAUCAAAUGGCCAUGCUUCAAAGCUAAGUCUAGGAGCUACAAUCACAGGUUGAGGAGAACUAGGCCACCUCCCACAAAAUUGUUGAAUUAGAGGUUGAGCUUUAAGAGACGGUGGCUCGAAGAGGAGAGAUGUUCAUCGAAGGCCAAGACUCAAUCAAGAAGGAACUAGUGAAGCGAUUUUCUUCGAAGGACUUUACUUGGAUAGAUGACAUCCUUCCAGAGGAGGAGGAGGAGGGCAAAGGCGAGGAAAGAAUAACUGAGGACAACCCUCCUAGCCCAGCUUCUACUGUAAUAGCCAAUGAUGAACCUAUAUUAGAAGAUCGGGAGGAGGCAACUAAUUUUGUCCCUCCUGCCCUGUAAUACUCCUUUUAUUUGAAUGAAAGAUUUUUCUAUUUUAUUUUGACAGUUUUGUAUGAUUAGUAUUUAGUCAUAAAUGUAACACCCCUUACCCUAUCAAAGUGUAGACAGAGCGAGAGUUGUCACAAACUAUACCUUUUUAGGCAUAUCAAGAUUAAACAAUUUCCUUUAUUUGUAAAUACCAAAUUUUUAGGUAGUCCAAGUAAAUUUUAUAAGGUGAUUAAAAUAAAUGUAAGAUUUUAAACCAAAAUUUUGGCAGUCUUCUCUGUUUCAUUAACAUUUCAACCUGUAGCACAUAUAUAAAAAAAAACACACGUAAAAUUAUCAACUGUUAUUUGACAUCUUACUAUUCUUUGAUUUACAUAACCUUCAUAACUCACUCUAUUUAAUAUAUACAUGCCAAAAUAUAAUUGUACUAUGACUCAUAGACUAAAAACAACCAGCUAUGAUAAUGGCCUUGAUAUCUGAUGUAGACCUCUAAUGAACUCCGCGUGCCUACUUUAUCUACAACCUGCGUGAGGUAAAAACUAACACGCUGAGCUAAUGCUUAGUGGAUGAUAACAAACAAAUAACAAAAUAGAGCAAACAAGUUCACAUAUAUAGAUAAUCAAGUAAACAAUUACAAGCUAGUCAAAUGUUGUUAACAUGAUACAAAGCAUACUUGUCAACUUCUUAGUAUAAAAUAUGAGUGCCAUAAGUAUCCUUGUGCACGAUAAGAAUUUCCUUCAUAUUCAAUAAAAACAUCUUCUUUUGCCUUUAUUGCAUAUUUUCUAUUUAUAGCAAAUCACCAUAGCUUAGUGCAUGAAAUAGAUGCAGACAUAUUAACAUUCACUAAUAAAUUCUCAAAAUUGAGUAUCGAUCUUAAUUAAGUUCUCAGCCCUUAUAAACACAUAGUAGGGUCGACUAGGUAGAUAAGGAGUUAUAACGGUAGGCACAGGUGCCGAACAGUAGGCUCAGAGGCUGAAACUGUGAUAGCAGGGCUCUGUGAUCGUGCUUAUGAGGUACCUGAUAUGUAACUUCAAAUAUAUAGAUCAUGUAUCGGUAAUAAUACUGCAAACUCUGUAUGUUUAUAUGGCAUGCCAUACCCUUAAACUAAUCUCGACUCCUAUUAAGUUUACCAGGGCCAAGUAUUAUUAAUUCAAUGUAACUAUGUAAAUGCAUGUCGUUUUAAGCUAUUUGAAUUCAUUUCUAAGUACAUAUAUCAUAUAUCAAAAUUAACAAGAUGAGAAACUCAUGACAAAUAGUGCAAAACUUUGUCAACAUAGCAUUUCAAUAUUGUGUCAAUUCCUGAAAGUUUUAGCUCUUUGUCUCAGCUUUCAUUUCGUAUAUCUUAGGCCUAAUUUUAAUAAAUACACAAUAAGUUAUGAAGUUGUUAACACAAGCUGCCCUGUUACAACCUAUUCUGCCAGGUUUGCACUUUAGCUCUCAUGUUAAAUUUCUUUACUCUAAACAUUUCAAACAUCAUUUUAAUAUUCAUAUAACAUAUUUAUAAAAUCAAAGCAACAUUUCCAGCAAGUAAAAUCAACCCCUAAUUCACUUAUUCAUGACAGAAUCAAAGAAAAACAAAAAAUCAUACAAACACCAAACCUUUCUUGAAUUCCUCUUUCUUUUCCUCUUUUACUCUGUAGCUAUCUCCUUUCUCUUUGAUGUUCCUUCACCUAGGUCAAUUUAUAUCUUAGGGAAGGAUUGAAUAAAUUAUAAAUUAAAGCUUUAUAAUUCAAAUUCAUGCAUGAAGAAAUGAGAAGAUGCUAUUUCCUACACAUUUCUAAGCUCACCUUUGAUUUUCAAGCUUGAUGUAUAUGGAAUCCUAAACUUUUCUUCUUCAAUUCUUUCAAUAUAUGGCUCUUCCUUUAGCUCAUGAUCUUAGGAUGAAUUUUGGUUAAAGGAAGAAGUUGAUUUGGUGAGAUUUUUGCUUGGCUUUUGUGGGAGAAAGAAAAGCAAUUCUUUUUCCUUGAAAAUGGAAUGACCUACGGCAACAUGAAGGAAAGAAGAAGACAACCCCUUUUCACUUUGCUUUGUCAUUUCAUUCAUGUAUAGUUAGGUGACACAUGGAGGGUAAACUGAAUUUUGUCUUUAAAAUUUCCAUAUUCACACUUUAACCUACUAAACUCUUUACCAUGUUUCAAUUUAGUUUUCAAACUUUUAAUAAUCAUAGAUUGACCUACUAAAUUAUGCUUUUAGCCUUUAGAAGUCCUUUUCACUUAAGCAAGUAUGACGGAUUUUAACAAGCACCUCAAGCAAGCACGUCGGGAAACUUUAAGCAGCUCUCGAAAGUGACUCGUUUCCGACUCGCUUAUCACAUUGUCUACUUUAUUUCUGGAUACGUCCGUUUCUUUAUUUGAGUUUUCUAUGAUUCAGUUAUUAGCAGUUUAGAGUUAUGCUAGCACCUCCCCUAAGUAGCUCGGGGUAAGCUAACACCUCCCCUAAUGCCACUUGCUUUAGUAGUGAAAUAGCCUAACCCAUACGUAGUGAUGUCACUACUCUAGCUAUGGGUUUGAGGAUGUAACAAUAAAUCUUGUAUUUCUUUUAAAAGAAUGCUAAGAGAUUAACACCCAACCUGUAAUAUCCGACUAGACUCCAGCGUCAGAAUUUCAACCUUCCGACAGAAUCUCCGUUAGGAUCCGGAAUCUCGGAUGCUGGAACCUCUUAGAAGGGUAAAAUAUGUUUUUACAAAAUGAUUUUCAUGGUUUUAUUGUUUGGUUUUGAGUUAAAGUUUAAAAGAAAAGAAAAUGUUUUUUUGGAGGAAAUCCAGGUUCGGCCGUCGAACAUAGUGCUGCCACAGGAGCUCUCCUUUCGGCCCCCGAAGGUGGUCUGGCUAGCCACCUAUUAGAGGUCUCCAGUCUAAAAAUGGGAGAGUUUUCUCUCUCCAUUUUCGGGCAAAGGUGAGUUCUUGCCCUCCCUUUGAUGAUUUUAUAUUUUUCCUUCAAAUCCUUCAAAUUUUCACGAGUUUUCUCUUGUUUUUGAAGUUUUAAGCUUGGAUCCAAGAUUUUAAAGUUUGGAGACCAUUUCUCCUCAACUCCAAGCUUGGGUCGCAUCUACCUUAGAUCUUCAAGAGGUAAAUGUAGAUCCUUGCCUUUUCAUAUGUUUUAAGUAAGUUUUAAAAAGGGGUUAAGCGUUAAAAAAUGCAUGAAUGGCUAGAUCUAAGGUUAUAGGCUUUGAGUUGGGUUUUGAUGAGUGUAUGCUCUCUCUUGUGUUUUGUUGUUGUUGUUGGGGCUUAGGUUAGUUUUAUGCCCCUUAUGCUUAAUGGAGUUAGUUUUUGCAUGUUUUGAGAAGUUGGGUAUGAAUUUGGUGAGUUUGGUGGCUGGUGUAGCUGAUGUAAUAGAAUAGUUGUGGACAUGUAAUGUUUAAUGGAUUAGUAUUGUGCUUGGCCCUAGUUUUCUUUACCUUGUAAUCUCUGUUAACAUGAUCUUUAUGUAAAAGUUUUAAAUAUGUUUUAUGUUUGAACCAAGCUUGAUACAUGUGAUGUUAACCAUAUUAGAGCAUUUGAUAAGGGCUCUAGUAUGGGUUUUAUAUUUUCAGUAUGAUACAUGCAUAGGUUGAGCUCAGUUUCAUGGAAAUAUUUAAGUUUUUGUUAUAAUGUGUGAUCAUGUAUGGGAUUUUAUCAGGUACACAGGAUGUAUAGUAGGCUUGCUAUGGGUUCCAGCGACCUUAAGUCGAUCUAAAUCCUAGCGCCGGUAGCGGUCCGAUUUUCGGAUCGUUACACAACCAUCAUGAUGGUGAUAAAAUAAAUAACUUGAAAAAUUUUGAAUAGCAGGAUUAACACCCGAACAUAUGGCCUGACGGAUACCUACCUUGGACCUAAGAUACUUUAUAGGAUUUCUUAUAAUCUUGAGGCUAGUACUCGAUCACAAACACUCGUCUUGUAGUUUGAGCCUCAAAUAUCUUAAAAAUUUUUACAUGGAAUUAACACUCGGUAGUUGUGCCCACCUCAUGGCCUAGCGUGAAUGUAUUUUUUAGUGGGAUCAAUGUUCGGUCUUCUGGUAUAGUGGAACCCGCCUUGUAGCCUGGUAUUGUAAUACCCGGNNNNNNNNNNNNNNNNNNNNNNNNNNNNNNNNNNNNNNNNNNNNNNNNNNNNNNNNNNNNNNNNNNNNNNNNNNNNNNNNNNNNNNNNNNNNNNNNNNNNNNNNNNNNNNNNNNNNNNNNNNNNNNNNNNNNNNNNNNNNNNNNNNNNNNNNNNNNNNNNNNNNNNNNNNNNNNNNNNNNNNNNNNNNNNNNNNNNNNNNNNNNNNNNNNNNNNNNNNNNNNNNNNNNNNNNNNNNNNNNNNNNNNNNNNNNNNNNNNNNNNNNNNNNNNNNNNNNNNNNNNNNNNNNNNNNNNNNNNNNNNNNNNNNNNNNNNNNNNNNNNNNNNNNNNNNNNNNNNNNNNNNNNNNNNNNNNNNNNNNNNNNNNNNNNNNNNNNNNNNNNNNNNNNNNNNNNNNNNNNUUAGUGGGACCAAUGCCUGGUUUUCCAGCUUAGUGAAACCAGCCUUGUAGCCUUUUAGUGGGACCAACACUAGGUCUUCUGACUUGGCGAAACUUGCUUUAUGGCCUGGCAUGAAUACCUUUGUUUUCACAAUCCCACGCCUAGAUUAUGGCCUAGCUAAAACUGCCUUCUGGCUUUUUAGUGGGACCAACACCCAGUCUUCUGGCCUGGUAGAACCCGCCUUGUGGCCUAGCAUGAAUGUCUUUAUUUCCACGGUCCAACACUCGGAUUAUGACAUGGCUAAAACUGCCUUGUAGCUUUUUAGUGGUACCAAUGCCCGAUCUUUUAGCUUGGCAGAAUCCAGCUUGUGGCCUGGCAUGAAUGCCUUUAUUUCUACAGUCCAAUGCCCAAAUUAUGACCUGGCUGAAACUGCCUUGUGGCCUUUUAGUGGGACCAACACCCAGUCUUCUGGCCUGGCGGAACUCACCUUGUGGCCUUUUAAUGGGACCAACGCUCGGUUUGUGGCCUGGCGAAACCCGUCUUGUGACCUGACCUGGCAGAACCUGCCUUGUAGCCUUGAUUAGUGGGACUGAUGUCCGAUUAUGGUCUAGCGGAACCCGCCUUGUGACCUGAUCUGGAGGAAUCUGCAUUGUGGCCUUGAUUAGUGGGACUAACACUCGGAUUGUAGCCUGGCAGAACCUGCCUUCUAGCCUGUCAUGAAUGCUCCUUAUCUUUUUUGAAGAAGGCAAUCCCAUCGUUUUUUAUUACUGAAAAACACAAAAUAUAAAACAAUACCUCAUUAACUAUUAUUAAUAAAAUUUUCUCAAGUUAAAAAUGACUCGGUCAUCUAAUUUGGUCAGCCUAUAAAACCCUGGGUGAAUAAUCUUCGAUACCCUAAAUAGUCAUUUCCAGUUUUCACCGAGCUUACCAGAUCGGCUGUUACAUCUCCUGGGGUUUGCUUACUUUCCCUGAUCAUCACUAAGUCCUUCUGCAAUUAUGUGAAUAAUCCCCAUAGGCUCCCUAUCAGGGGUGGUUUCAGGGGUUAUUGCCUCGGGUUCAGGUCUCCUCUCUUCCUUACCCUUUUUGGCGAACUUUCGAAGAGUGUCGUCCCUUAUCAGCCUCUCAAUCUCAUCUUUCAAUUGACAACACUCUUCUAUUGUAUGACUAUGGUCUUCAUGAAAACGAUAGUACUUAGUCCUGUCUUGCUUUCUACUUUCUCGGGAUUGAGCUUGGGCAGCCACCUGACCUCCUUGUCAUUUUUCCUGAUUCACAUUAGAAUACAUGUUCGUGAGUCAUUCAAUGGAGUAUAAUUCUUAUAUUUGCUUUGGUCAUCCCUCCUUCGGGAGACGGGGCAAUUCUUGUGGUCUCCUUCAUAUCCUUGCCUCUUCGGCUUUUGGCUUUGCUUUUGAUUUGUCCUCUUAUUCUCUCUCAGUGCUUGGACUUCGUCAUCUAGCCUGACAUACUUCUAGGCUUUUUCCAUCAACUAUUGAUAUGUAGCGGCUGGGUUCUUGAUCAAGGAAUCCAUAACUUGAUGUUGCGUAUUCCUUUCUUCAAUGCUUCACAUGCUAUCUCAUGAUUUAGGUCCUCCACCUGUAUUGCUUCGGUAUUAAACCGUGAGAUAAAACUCUUUAAAGACUCGCCCUCUACUUGGCGGAUCUUCCGUAAGUCAGAGGAGAGUUUUUUAGGAGGUAUACAAGUAAUAAAUCUGAAUUUAAAUAACAUAGCGAAUUUCAUAAAGUUCUGAAUUAAACUUGGACUCAAAUGUUGAUACCGUUUCUGAGCCAAACCUGUGAGUAUUGAUGGAAACACUCGGGACAAUACAAAAUCGUUGACAUCUUGAAACUGUAUGGUCGUCCUAAAGAUCACCAAGUGACUUUUGGGAUCUGUUAUUCCAUCAUAUUUGUCCAAACUAAGCAGCUUGAACUUGGAUGAGAAUGUUUCCACUAAGAUUUCUUCCGAAAAGGGCGAGACACCAUCCAAGCCAAAGUCCUCCUCUUACUCCUUUUAGUACCUUUGAACAGCCCAUACCAGCUUCCAGUCUAUACCUUUUGGAGCAUCUUCUGAAUCAUCUUCUUCUAAUUCAGCCUUUCUUUUGGAUCGCCUCUGUCCGAGUUCUCGAGGUGUCAACAGAGGCUUGUCCCUUUCCUCUGGGAGCCGUGACUGACGCCUCCCUCCGAGCCUUAUACUGCUCCAGAGUAGCCUACAACUUUUGGAUGUAUUGGAUCAUAUACUCAUUGUUCAGGCUGUUGAGAUCUGCUUCAUUGACCAUUAAGGGCGUGUUUUGUCCACUGCUAGGGAUGGAAGAAAUGAUCGCCUUUAUUGGUAGCAACCUUAGCAGCAGCUCAUGAACUACCAGCCAUUUCAAGAAAGAGAGGAAAGAGAUUACUUUUUAAGAGAAAAUAGAUAAGAGACUGGUUUUAAUCUAGAUGAACAGAGAGGAUUCAAUGGAUUUUUUGGCAACGGAACCAAAUGAUCUAACCAGAAAAUAAAAUUGUGCUGCGGUUGGUCAAACCUACAAGAAAGAGAAAGUGAGGUGGUUGGCACCUACGGCAGCCACUCCAACGCUCAAGUUAGUAAACUGGAGAAUAGGGAGAGAAACUAGCCCAAAUAACUUGGAUUAACCAUUUUGGGCCAAAUAGAAAAUGAGUUCAAAAAUUAUUUAGAUCAAUUUGGGCCAAGUUGUUAUUCUUGAGUGACAUUAAUUAAAUUAAAAAUUCAUCCAUUUAUGAUUUCAACAUAAAUAUUGACAAGAUGACUAAACAACUGUAACAUAAAAUCUUUUUUUUGAAAGCAAAACUACUGAUUGUAUUAAUAAAAUUUCAUCAAACAAAGAGGAUAUCAUCCCAAACAGAGAGACGAUUAUGCCUAAUAGAUUUUUUAGCCAAAGUAUGAGCAGUUAGAGUAGUAUUACGACGAACCCAUCUAACAGAAAUAUCAGUUCUAGAGUCUAACAAAGAUUUACAAUCAUUCAAAAUCAAACCCCUGCAUAAGAUAAUUUGGUAAAGAUGCUCCUCCUUUCUUAUCUCUCGAGCAUAAAUCAUUAAAGUCUCCCGAACAAAGCUACAGAAGAAAACUUCUACGAGAUAAAGUUUGAAUAAGGUUCCAAGACUGAUGUCAUCAUUGCGAUUUAGAAAACCCAUAAUAACUAGUAAACCUCCAUUGAACAUUACCUUCCGAAACAACCGAAUCAAUAAAAUUUGAAGAAAAGCCAAUCACAGAAACAGAAACAUGACUCUUCCACAUUAACGAAAGGCCUCCUCCCAAUCCUUGUCUAUUGACUGAGAAGCAACCAUUAAAAUGUAAAAAACUAUGAAAAAAAUAUGUAACAGAAAUAAUAAGUGACGAUCGGAAUAUCUCUGGAGCUCUUAAAAUCUUUUCCUUCAUCGAUAGUCAAUUGACGCAGAUCGUCUUCCAUGGAAAGGGGAAAGAAAAAGUUAGAUUUAAGGAAGAGGAAAAGGCGAGAGUAUCAAGCCACAAAGGGACCACAUAGGGAAACUUUGUAACAUAAAAUCUUGAAAUUAAGAAUUCUUUACAGUAACAUAAAAUCUUGAAACUCAUAAUAAGCGUCUUAAUAUUGAACACCCACAUAAUUAAAAAGCAUUCACUAUAUUGUACUAUCGUAAAAUGUCAUAAUAUGCUUUUAAAACUCAACUCUUAGCAUACAACUCAUCCCUCCAUGAAGAAACUUAUUUGAAGAUCCUUUAUAUACUCUAAAAGUUUCAAAAACUCCCAUUAGCCUAUCAAAUCAAUUACAUCAACCAAAAACCUUUUUUUUUUGUAAGAUAGAAAGAUUUCAUUGAAAGAGUCACAGAAAUGCUAGAAAUAGAACAUCAAAGGCCCAAGGUAAAAAAAA